UGUGUGUGUGUGUGUGUGUGUUUAAACAUAGUGUAACCAACCUAUUGUUCUUAUAACUGGUAGGUGUUGAUUCAGAGGAAGUUGGUUUCUGGUCCAAGUUUUGACAUAAGCCUUGUCUUUCUGUUACCAGCGCUUAUAAAUGUGAAAACUGGUCAUGCAAGUAAAUGAUCUUAACCACAUUAAACAUACUGCCUCAGCCAUUACUAAGUGUCUACUUCUGAAGUUGGACAUGGGAUGAGAAAAAAAAGCUCCUUCGAUCUUGGGCAUGGCUGUGUCCCACUAUGACCCUCCAUGUCCCCACGUCAUAAACCUGGAGCUGAAAGAGACCCGAGAGCAUCUGCUAGUCCAACAUCCUGUUCCCAGCAGAGUCAAAGGUGGCAGCUGCCCUUCAAAGUUCCUACACUGAUUGCAACCCAAACCCUCUGCUUUCCAAUGCUUUGUUGCUUCGUUUUGCAGUUGGGACAAUUAAAUGGUACUCCUGUUUCAGAA